rnacentral:rRNA from 1 species
UGAGUUUGAUCCUGGCUCAGGAUGAACGCUGGCGGCGUGCCUAAUACAUGCAAGUCGAGCGAACGGACGAGAAGCUUGCUUCUCUGAUGUUAGCGGCGGACGGGUGAGUAACACGUGGAUAACCUACCUAUAAGACUGGGAUAACUUCGGGAAACCGGAGCUAAUACCGGAUAAUAUUUUGAACCGCAUGGUUCAAAAGUGAAAGACGGUCUUGCUGUCACUUAUAGAUGGAUCCGCGCUGCAUUAGCUAGUUGGUAAGGUAACGGCUUACCAAGGCAACGAUGCAUAGCCGACCUGAGAGGGUGAUCGGCCACACUGGAACUGAGACACGGUCCAGACUCCUACGGGAGGCAGCAGUAGGGAAUCUUCCGCAAUGGGCGAAAGCCUGACGGAGCAACGCCGCGUGAGUGAUGAAGGUCUUCGGAUCGUAAAACUCUGUUAUUAGGGAAGAACAUAUGUGUAAGUAACUGUGCACAUCUUGACGGUACCUAAUCAGAAAGCCACGGCUAACUACGUGCCAGCAGCCGCGGUAAUACGUAGGUGGCAAGCGUUAUCCGGAAUUAUUGGGCGUAAAGCGCGCGUAGGCGGUUUUUUAAGUCUGAUGUGAAAGCCCACGGCUCAACCGUGGAGGGUCAUUGGAAACUGGAAAACUUGAGUGCAGAAGAGGAAAGUGGAAUUCCAUGUGUAGCGGUGAAAUGCGCAGAGAUAUGGAGGAACACCAGUGGCGAAGGCGACUUUCUGGUCUGUAACUGACGCUGAUGUGCGAAAGCGUGGGGAUCAAACAGGAUUAGAUACCCUGGUAGUCCACGCCGUAAACGAUGAGUGCUAAGUGUUAGGGGGUUUCCGCCCCUUAGUGCUGCAGCUAACGCAUUAAGCACUCCGCCUGGGGAGUACGACCGCAAGGUUGAAACUCAAAGGAAUUGACGGGGACCCGCACAAGCGGUGGAGCAUGUGGUUUAAUUCGAAGCAACGCGAAGAACCUUACCAAAUCUUGACAUCCUUUGACAACUCUAGAGAUAGAGCCUUCCCCUUCGGGGGACAAAGUGACAGGUGGUGCAUGGUUGUCGUCAGCUCGUGUCGUGAGAUGUUGGGUUAAGUCCCGCAACGAGCGCAACCCUUAAGCUUAGUUGCCAUCAUUAAGUUGGGCACUCUAAGUUGACUGCCGGUGACAAACCGGAGGAAGGUGGGGAUGACGUCAAAUCAUCAUGCCCCUUAUGAUUUGGGCUACACACGUGCUACAAUGGACAAUACAAAGGGCAGCGAAACCGCGAGGUCAAGCAAAUCCCAUAAAGUUGUUCUCAGUUCGGAUUGUAGUCUGCAACUCGACUACAUGAAGCUGGAAUCGCUAGUAAUCGUAGAUCAGCAUGCUACGGUGAAUACGUUCCCGGGUCUUGUACACACCGCCCGUCACACCACGAGAGUUUGUAACACCCGAAGCCGGUGGAGUAACCUUUUAGGAGCUAGCCGUCGAAGGUGGGACAAAUGAUUGGGGUGAAGUCGUAACAAGGUAGCCGUA